rnacentral:rRNA from 1 species
AUUGAACGCUGGCGGCAGGCCUAACACAUGCAAGUCGAGCGAGCGGCGGACGGGUGAGUCAUGUCUGGGAACCUGCCUGAUGGAGGGGGCUAACUACUGGAAACGGUAGCUAAUACCGCAUACCAUCAGAUGUGCCCAGAUGGGAGUAGCUAGUAGGUGGGGUAACGGCUCACCAAGGCGACGAUCCCUAGCUGGUCUGAGAGGAUGACCAGGCACACUGGAACUGAGACACGGUCCAGACUCCUACGGGAGGCAGCAGUGGGGAAUAUUGGACAAUGGGCGCAAGCCUGAUGCAGCCAUGCCGCGUGUGUGAAGAAGGCCUUCGGGUUGUAAAGCACUUUCAGCGGGGAGGCGUUACCCGCAGAAGAAGCACCGGCUAACUCCGUGCCAGCCGCCGCGGUAAUUC